rnacentral:rRNA from 1 species
GACGAACGCUGGCGGCGUGCCUAAUACAUGCAAGUCGAGCGAAGUUUUUCUGGUGCUUGCACUAGAAAAACUUAGCGGCGAACGGGUGAGUAACACGUAAAGAACCUGCCUCAUAGACUGGGACAACUAUUGGAAACGAUAGCUAAUACCGGAUAACAGUAUUUCUCGCAUGAGAGAUAUUUAAAAGUUGGUUAUGCUAACACUAUGAGAUGGCUUUGCGGUGCAUUAGCUAGUUGGUGGGGUAAAGGCCCACCAAGGCGACGAUGCAUAGCCGACCUGAGAGGGUGAUCGGCCACACUGGGACUGAGACACGGCCCAGACUCCUACGGGAGGCAGCAGUAGGGAAUCAUCCGCAAUGGGCGAAAGCCUGACGGAGCAACGCCGCGUGAGUGAAGAAGGAUUUCGGUUCGUAAAGCUCUGUUGUUAGGGAAGAAUGGAUAUGUAGUAACUAUACAUGUAAGAGACGGUACCUAACCAGAAAGCCACGGCUAACUACGUG